CUCAUCGUCCUCGUCUGCGUGGGCUGCCAAAGAAAGAGCAAGAGCAAGCACCCCCCAGCUGGAGAGAAGGGGACAUCUGUAAACAUGCAGGGAACGCUCCGGCAUCCUAAAAUGAACUCCAUGAGCAAAUCUGAUACGAGGUUACAUGAGAUCAACCGCCUGCCCUGCAACGGAAACACUGUUCCUAAGAACCGUCCGGCCAGCAUGGACCUCCUGCUCCUCCACAACCGGCACUCCCAGACAGACCUGAGGCCUUUGAAUGGCCGCCAGCUGCCCCAGAUCCCCACCAGCCCCC